rnacentral:misc_RNA from 1 species
GAUGAAGAACGUAGCGAAAUGCGAUAAGUAAUGUGAAUUGCAGAAUUCAGUGAAUCAUCGAAUCUUUGAACGCACAUUGCGCCCCCUGGUAUUCCGGGGGGCAUGCCUGUUCGAGCGUCAUUUCACCACUCAAGCCUCGCUUGGUAUUGGGCAACGCGGUCCGCCGCGUGCCUCAAAUCGACCGGCUGGGUCUUCUGUCCCCUAAGCGUUGUGGAAACUAUUCGCUAAAGGGUGUUCGGGAGGCUACGCCGUAAAACAACCCCAUUUCUAAGGUUGACCUCGGAUCAGGUAGGGAUACCCGCUGAACUUAAGCAUAUCAGUAAGCGGAGGA